GGAGCAUCACAGGGAAGGUGGCUGGUGGUGGUCUGGCAUUGGCCCCAUCAGGCACAUCUGCCACAGAGCUGGUCACAGGGGUGGGAGCAGGGGCGAGCUUGGCUUGACCUGCUGUGCUGUUUCACCAUUGCUGGCUCCAUGUCUAGGGACUUGGAAUUAAUUUCCCCCAGGUGAGGAGUCUGGAAAAAAAAAGCUGUAAUGAUUUUUGUGAUGGUUUUUAGGCCUUUGAAUGACAGGCAUCUGCACUUUAAGUGUCAGGUGUGUGAAGAGUCAGAGAGGACCUGAUCUGAGACCAUGUAAAUCAGAGGGUUGAUUAAGCAAGUUGGUUUACUGCAGUGCCAUAAGUCUCCAUGGGAAAAAAGACUCUGGCUUCAGAUCAGUAUCUUUGGCUGUCCCUGAGAGAGAACAGAAAGCGUGGUUUUCAUCACUGCGACAAGGUUUUCAGCAAUUAGAGCUAUUGACACGUCUUACAGUUGGUGCCGGAGCAAAACUGCCAGAGAGCUGGAUGUUUCCCUCUUCUGGGUAACAAUGGUAGAUAAAGAUGUAACUUCACAAUUGACCGGGCUGGGAUUUAUCUGCUCACUGGGCUUUGUUCAUGAUGUUUCUUUGCACAGCACAAAAUUAUCAUCUGUCUACUUGCUCUUUCCCUUGUUAUGCCUGAAGAACCGUCUAUACCGUAUAAAUAUCCUGCACUGAAAAGCAGCAAACAGAGCGGCACCAUUUCUGCAGCCAGGGCACAUACUCUCUGUGUAGAGCCAGGAGCAUCUACACAGACUGAGCUGGUGAUUUGACAUGGCUGCAUGAUGACAAAGACAUGAUCAGACCUCCCUUCCCUAGGACUUCAUUUCUUCUUCUGUUGUGUGAAAGACCCUAAGUAAAACCUGGCUCCUGUGGUGUCUGUUAUUCAUUAAAUAGCUGUCUCCUUUCCAUGUUAGCUCUGAUCCAAGACAUCUGAACGGUGCUGGAGGAGCCGUGCUGCCAGAAAUGCUUUGUUUGGGAUAUGCCCUGACAGAUCAGAAAAAUUAAAAGACCCUGGGGUAGUGUAAGUGCAGAGUCAAGGUUUGGGACAUCAGGAGAGUUGGUAUCUGUGUACCUUGUGGUAUGUUUUAGAUUGGUGGUUCCAGAAUCUGCUUUGGAUGCUAAAAAUAGCUGUGCUGCUGAAAAAACGCAGUCUGCAGGAAGUAAUUCUAUAAAACGUUAGAGUAUGGCUCUGCUCUGAAAAAUAACCUUAAAAAUAUUGUGUUGUAGGAGUCCAUAUUGUGUUUCAUAAUUAUUUGGGAUCUGUAUGUGAGGCUGUGGCUUUUCACUGUCCUGGUAAAGAAAAUGUUGUGAAAGCUGACAAAAUAGGGAAAAUUGUCCACCUUUUUCCUCUUUCUCUCUCAAUGGUGUUGGUUUGAUGCAACCAACAAGCAGAAGGUAAUAAGAAUCUAUUUCAGUCACCUGAAGUCAGCAGAUGUGACAGUUCACAGUGAGCAGUGUGAGAAGGUGCUGUGUUUGCGGUCAAAUUUCAAUGCAGAAUUUCACCGUCAUUUCUCACGCCCAGGAAUAGAUGACGGUUGGGAGGAAAGAUGUGCAUUUUCUCCCCCAGGAGUAGCAGCUGUCCCAACACAGGGAGAUAACUGCUAAGGAUGUGACUGCUCAUCUCCACUGGAUUUUAGGUAAGGAUCAUUUACAAACCCUCCUGAAUGGGAGCUCAGUCCCUAGGCACAGCUAGGCAGUCUGCACUGGGUAGACACUUUCUCUUCCCCAAAGGCUGUAAGUCAGAUGUCACCAGAACUCUAAAUAUCUUCCCCAUCAUGACCCAGCCCAGUAUGACCCUGACUGGGAAGAAGACCCUGCAUCUUAUUUGCAUGCUUUGUCUCCAAAAUGAAUUCACUCGCAUCGUGCACCUUCUUGGUUGUUCAAAGAGGGAAACUCCAGGACUGUCCUUAUGAAUUUAGGGCAGCCCAAAAGAGUGGAAGGGGUCUAUCUUGGGGAAGAGCAGCAGCCAUUGGUGUGAAUCACAAACUGAAACAAAGCUAGCCACAUUCCCUUGGUCUAAAUGGUACGGCCAUGCUGACAGGUCCAACCCUGAGAGCAUCCCACCCACUGAAGAGCACAGGCUGCUGUUAAAAGUAUUGCUGCAACUCCUGCGAUGCACAGCAUGGAUGUUUUAUUGCUGUCUUUCACACUGUGUGUUCUCUUAAAGCAAUCAGCUCUUCUUGCCAGUUGCUGCCAUAUCUUCACAUGCUCAUAGCACUUUGCUCUGCUCCAGUAAUGCUUCAGCUCCUUGCAGCAGUCCCUCUCCCUUGGGUGACCCCUGUGAUGAAUCAGACUUCUCAAGAUGGAGGUAAUGGGAGCCAAGAGAGUUGUUAGCCCUGUCAGUCAAAAAACAGCCAGCACAGACUCUUUCCACCUACUUCGCUGUUGCAUGAAAACCUUUACAUGAGUGGGAUCUCUUUGGACCAGCAGCCAAAUUAACUUCAGAGUUCUCAGACCAAAAAUAAAUACCUUUUGAGAGGAAGCUGAGGCAAAUGUGCCACUUAUUACCACUGAGCAGCUUGACACCACUUCAGUCCAAAUUUCAAGCCAACUAUCCACUCAGCAGGAGAUAUAUUUGUUUUAAAUUAAACAUGCCAGGAAUCGGACUUCAAGGAGAUCAAGGCAAGUUUGUUGUUUCCACAAUGUAAAUCCCUGUCUGCAUCAGUGAAUUUUGGCUCCCAUUUUUCCUGCUAAAAUUAAUUGCUAUCCAUGCUAAACUAGAGAAAUUAGGGCCUGAAAGCUCCCACAUGGGGGUUCUCGGUGAGGGAACUGAGGAAUAGGACAGAGUAGAGAAGGGGUAACUAGCAGUGAACCAGACUUUAUCAGAGAUGGAAAAAUAACAGGAAGGCAAGUGAGCAUAGGAAAAAUGAGGUCUGGUGUUUUAGUGAGCUGACUGUUGGGCUAGGAUACAAAACAGUUUAUUGUUUGUGAAAACCUGGGAUUAUGCUGUGGGAUGAGGCAAGCUUUGCUCCAGCUUGCCUCUCACAGCUGCAGUGGAUGUCACUGCUAGAGAAUUAUCCACCAGGAUGGUAUCUGUCAUUUUCAUGUUUACAACAGGCUUAGGAACACCCGUUUUGGGGGUCUGCAAAUCAGCUGGAAAAAUUGGCUUGGAUCAGGAGCCUGGCUGACAAAGCUAUACUCUUAAAGCAGUUCUAAACACCCAGAUCAUCUGCUUUACAAAUUGCAGACAGAGAGUAAACAAAUGGGCGUUUUUUUCUGUCUCUCCCUUCCCCUCCCUUCCUAGUUGUAGUUGCAUAACACACAGGAUAUUUCUUGUAUUUUAAACGAAGCCAUUGGUUGUCAUUAAUUAGAAUUUGAGAUAUGUGAGAAGGAAAUGUGAAUGUAUUAGUGAAAAAUAAAUUGAUUGAUACUACAGGGUAA